GGUGAAUCCCAGGGCUCACCCUGGAACUGCCUCUUAUACUGCUGGUCUUGAGUUCGAGAGAGGUGAGUGGAAUUCCGAGUGUAGAGGUGAAAUUCGUAGAUAUUCGGAGGAACACCAGUGGCGAAGGCGGCUCACUGGCUCGAUACUGAC
rnacentral:rRNA from 1 species